rnacentral:rRNA from 1 species
GAUGAACGCUGGCGGCGUGCUUAACACAUGCAAGUCGAGCGGUAAGGCCCUUUCGGGGGUACACGAGCGGCGAACGGGUGAGUAACACGCGGGUGACCUGCCCUCAGCUCUGGGAUAAGCCUGGGAAACCGGGUCUAAUACCGGAUAUGACUCCAUGACGCAUGUUGUGGGGUGGAAAGCCUUGUGCGGCUGAGGAUGGGCCCGCGGCCUAUCAGCUUGUUGGUGGGGUGANGGCCUACCAAGGCGACGACGGGUAGCCGGCCUGAGAGGGCGACCGGCCACACUGGGACUGAGACACGGCCCAGACUCCUACGGGAGGCAGCAGUGGGGAAUCUUGCGCAAUGGGCGAAAGCCUGACGCAGCGACGCCGCGUGAGGGAUGACGGCCUGGU